AGGUGGCUCCGCACGUGCCUCACGUUGUGGAGACACGGUAGAUGGCUCCGUAGGUUGCCUUUCCUCACGUUGGAUCCGUGUGAUUCUUCCGGAUCUCUUGGCUACGGCUCUUUUGGGUCCCAUUUCUCCAAGAUCUUAAGGUAAUCUACUGUUUGGAGGAGUUUGGAGGAGUUUGGAGAGUGGGGAUUAGAGUAUUCAGA
rnacentral:lncRNA from 1 species